rnacentral:rRNA from 1 species
GCGGCGGACGGGUGAGUAACACGUGGGUAACCUGCCUGUAAGACUGGGAUAACUCCGGGAAACCGGGGCUAAUACCGGAUGCUUGAUUGAACCGCAUGGUUCAAUUAUAAAAGGUGGCUUUUAGCUACCACUUACAGAUGGACCCGCGGCGCAUUAGCUAGUUGGUGAGGUAACGGCUCACCAAGGCAACGAUGCGUAGCCGACCUGAGAGGGUGAUCGGCCACACUGGGACUGAGACACGGCCCAGACUCCUACGGGAGGCAGCAGUAGGGAAUCUUCCGCAAUGGACGAAAGUCUGACGGAGCAACGCCGCGUGAGUGAUGAAGGUUUUCGGAUCGUAAAACUCUGUUGUUAGGGAAGAACAAGUACCGUUCGAAUAGGGCGGUACCUUGACGGUACCUAACCAGAAAGCCACGGCUAACUACGUGCCAGCAGCCGCGGUAAUACGUAGGUGGCAAGCGUUGUCCGGAAUUAUUGGGCGUAAAGCGCGCGCAGGCGGUUUCUUAAGUCUGAUGUGAAAGCCCCCGGCUCAACCGGGGAGGGUCAUUGGAAACUGGGGAACUUGAGUGCAGAAGAGGAGAGUGGAAUUCCACGUGUAGCGGUGAAAUGCGUAGAGAUGUGGAGGAACACCAGUGGCGAAGGCGACUCUCUGGUCUGUAACUGACGCUGAGGCGCGAAAGCGUGGGGAGCGAACAGGAUUAGAUACCCUGGUAGUCCACGCCGUAAACGAUGAGUGCUAAGUGUUAGAGGGUUUCCGCCCUUUAGUGCUGCAGCAAACG